GACGGAGGAGGCAAGCGUUAUCCGGAAUUAUUGGGCGUAAAGCGUACGCAGGUGGAUUUACAAGUCUUUUGUCAAAGACCAGGGCUCAACCCCGGGAAGGCAGAGGAAACUGUUAAUCUAGAGUGCGAUAGGGGCAGGAGGAAUUCCCGGUGUAGCGGUGAAAUGCGUAGAUAUCGGGAAGAACACCAGCGGCGAAAGCGUCCUGCUAGGUCGCAACUGACACUCAUGUACGAAAGCUAGGGGAGCGAAUGGG
rnacentral:rRNA from 1 species